rnacentral:lncRNA from 1 species
CCAAGAAUCAAUACUAUAUUAGAGGGUAGUAAGUAAAUCACAGGGCUGAAGGUGUCAAGAUAGAGACAGCAAUUUUAAAGAUUUACUUGUAUUUAAUUAUGUGUGGUUGUGUGUGGGUUUGUGGACGUAAGCGAAGGUCAAAUCUGUAGCAGGAGUUUCAGGGAGUUGUGAGCCACUUGACAUGAGUAUUGGGAACUCAACCAGGGUCCUCUGGAAGAACAGCAGUACUCUUGCCCUCUGGAAGAGCAGCAGUACUCUUACCCUCUGAGCCAGGCUCGAGUAGUGGCAGUCUUAGAAGGAGUUGUCACAGACGCUCUGCUGGAAGGUAGCAUUUGGUAAAGAGCUGAAAGUGGGGAGCUGGAGAGAUGGCUCAGUGGUUAAGAGCACUGAGGUCCAGAGGUCCUGAGUUCAAUUCCCAGCAACCACAUGGUGGCUCACAACCAUCUGUAAUGAGAUCUGGUACCCUCUUCUGGUGUGUCGGAAGACAGCGUGUACUCACAUACAUAAAAUAAAUAAAUCUUUAAA